UACGAAGGGGGCUAGCGUUGCUCGGAAUCACUGGGCGUAAAGCGCACGUAGGCGGAUUGUUAAGUCGGGGGUGAAAUCCUGGAGCUCAACUCCAGAACUGCCCUUGAUACUGGGGAUCUUGAGUCCGGAAGAGGUGAGUGGAACUCCGAGUGUAGAGGUGAAAUUCGUAGAUAUUCGGAAGAACACCAGUGGCGAAGGCGGCUCACUGGUCCGGUACUGACGCUGAGGUGCGAAAGCGUGGGGAGCAAACAGG
rnacentral:rRNA from 1 species